AUACGUAGGUGGCAAGCGUUGUCCGGAAUUAUUGGGCGUAAAGCGCAUGUAGGCGGUUUGGUAAGUCGGUCGUGAAAAUGCGGUGCUUGACGCCGUAUGGCGAUCGAAACUGCUGAACUUGAGUGCAGGAGAGGAAAGGGGAACUCCCAGUGGUGCGGUGAAAUGCGUAGAGAUCGGGAGGAACACCAGUGGCGAAGGCGGGUAACUGGACUGCAACUGACGCUGAGGCGCGAAAGUGUGGGGAGCAAACAGGAUUAGAUACCCUGGUAGUCCACACUGUAAACGAUGAAUGCUAGGUGUAAGAGGUAUCGACCCCUUUUGUGCCGGAGUCAACACAAUAAGCAUUCCGCCUGGGGAGUACGGCCGCAAGGUUGAAACUCAAAGGAAUUGACGGGG
rnacentral:rRNA from 1 species